GGCAUUUCAUGACUCUGCAUAAACAGGAGCCCGGAGGAAGUGGCUUUUCUGUUGUUUAACAUAUUUCAGAACGAUCUAGUGACUUCUUUGAGCCUUUGUAUGCUCUUUUGUGAAAGCGGGAGAAAGACCUCUGCUGAGUCUCCAAGGUCUUACAGGACUGCUAAGAUACUCAAAUUCGGUGCUCCUCCCAUACCUGGGGCACAGGGAGUGGAGACUGCAGAGUCCGAAUCCCAAUCUCAUUAUUUUUCUGCAAGGGCUGUGUGACCUUGGGCGAGUUACUAGCGUCUCUGAGACGCGUUGUAUCAACUCAAAAGGGGGCGGGGGAGCACCCGACGCCAGGUUCAGGUUCCAGCCACCUAGUGCCCCCUGGCGGCGCUGCGUGCUUUUCAGGCGCCACGGGCCGCACUCUCCCGCCACGGGAGCCCCCCCUCGCAGGAGCGCGCGGUCGGGGAGCCGGGAGCCGCGAGCCGCGAGCCGCGCACCGGGCAUGCGCGGCCGGUAGAGCCCCUCGAGGCAGCCUCGACGCCGCCCCGGCCCAGCCAGCGAGGGCCGGAGCUGUAGUACCGCCGGGGGCCGGUGGCGUCGCUGCGCGGCCGGCCCUGGGGGUCCGGCGCCUGUAGAACUCUACCCGGCGCAGGCGGCUCUGUGCUCACCCGGCGGUUGGCCUGACUUGCAAGUAAAUGGGAGCCGCCGCCUCUGGGCUGUGAGUCCCACCAGGGCAUGUGUUCGUGACAUGGCUCUUUUGUUCAUCACUGACGCACCAGUCUGGGACAGGCCCGGCUUGCAGGACUGCUCAGCGUCCCUUGCCUAGACCAGUGGUAGCCGAAGCCUGAUGGGGACAGCACGUCCCCAAAAAAGUUCCCCAGGGAGGUACAAAAGGGAGGACAAAAAGGGAGAGGAGCGCUAGCAACGUUCAUAGCAAUUGGACACAGCUUCGGCAUCCCAGCUGGGGAUCCUUGGAACAAGCUUUGAGAGCUCUGUGUGCAGAUCGUGGUUCCUGAAGGUCAGAGGAACUCCUUCCGAAUCAGCUGGUCAAGGAAGUGAUCCCUCGAAGCCACAGAACGUCAUCUUUUGAAAUCAUUGGAAAAUGGGUGGAGGCAUCGGAUCCCCUGAACCGGAGAGAACACAGAGCCCAGGCUACCAUGGUGAGAAGCAUCUGCUGAAGGAGAGC